UGGUCGUGUUGUAGGCAAUUUUGUAGCAUUCCCUUGUAUCUUUCCCAUGCUUUAUACAAAGAUUCUCCAUUUUUUGAAAGUUAGCAAUAUUCUUUGUGGACUA